AUGGGUUCAGGGAUCCCCUAUAGGCGUCUCCCCACAUCUGUGUGGGACAGAGUAGAGGAGAAGAUGCCCAGCCUAUACCAAACUCUUUCAAACGUAUAUAAGACGUGGGGGAAGAAGCAUGUUUGGUGCGGUGGAAUCAUCGCCACCCUCUUCAUCUUCUUGAUCGUGUCUCUAAGUUGGCAGAAGCCAGAGGUUCGCCCCGAGCCAGACGAUACCCUUUCCGAAAGAUGUGCACAGCUACAAAGAGAAGUCUCCGGUCUGCAGGCCAUGCUCAAAAAGCACACGGAAGCCGCGGAGAGGGAGAAGGCAACGCUGAAAAGCGCCCUUUCCAGGAACCGGGAGCUGUUGCAGAAGGAGAAGGCAGACGGCGAAGCCCUCCGUGCUCGGCUGGUCCACUCAAACCAGACCGAGAAGCUCUUGGAGAAGACCAAGGAGGAAGGGGUCCAGAUGCAGGCUCAGCUGGAAGCUGCCCACCAGGCCCUCAGCGAAACCCGGCAGCUACGGGAUGCCUGCCAGGACCAGCUGGCAGGAAUCACAGCCCAAACAGCAGACAUGCAACAACAUGAGGAAGAAAAGAAGAAUCUCCAGGGUGAGAAGGAAAUUGAACACCUUCGACAGCAGGUGUCCAGGAUGGCCGAUGAGCUGCGGGACAUCUGGACAAAGAAAGCAAACCGCGAGGAGAGAAUCCAGCAUUUGGAGGAGCAGCUCAGUCGGCAGCAGAGGUCCACUGAGAAGAGCGAGGAGAUCCCGCCCAUCGUCCUUUUCCUGUCUGGUUUUGUUGUGUGUGCUAUAUGCAAGUGUUUUUGUGCUGGAAACAACUAACUGCCCCCAGGCCCCCCCAGGAGGAAACACCUGGGUGAGGAGCAGGUGAACUGGGAAACCAUUCAUAAAUUCACCCUGCUCCCAAAUUGUUAGUUAUUUGGUUUAUUGUUUUCUUAUUUAAUUUAUUAAUGGGUCACACCCAUUAAUAAUUUCUUUCCUUAAUUUAUUAUUAUUAGUAAACAUUAUUUUAUUAAUUUAUUAUUAAUGAAUUUUAGGUGAUGAGCCAUUUUCCUCACUUUUCUCUAGGUAAAUUAAUAUCGGAUCUUUACUUAAGGGAAUGUACCGGCACACUGUUUUCUUCGCUAUGGCUAUUUCAUAGAGAAGUGAACUUAAUAUUUAAUUUUAAUAUUUGCAACUUUUUUAAAAAAUUCAAUUCCAUUGUUUUUUUCACUGCAUUUUUAAGCCACCUUGGGUCCCAUUUCUGGGAGAAAUGCAUCAUGUAAAUAAAAUAAAAUAAGGGGUGGUAUCCUCCUUGUGG
rnacentral:lncRNA from 1 species